CGUAGGUGGCAAGCGUUGUCCGGAAUUAUUGGGCGUAAAGCGCGCGCAGGCGGUCCUUUAAGUCUGAUGUGAAAGCCCACGGCUCAACCGUGGAGGGUCAUUGGAAACUGGGGGACUUGAGUACAGAAGAGAAGAGUGGAAUUCCACGUGUAGCGGUGAAAUGCGUAGAGAUGUGGAGGAACACCAGUGGCGAAGGCGACUCUUUGGUCUGUAACCUGACGCUGAGGCGCGAAAGCGUGGGGAGCAAACAGGAUUAGAUACCCUGGUAGUCCACGCUGUAAACGAUGAGUGCUAAGUGUUAGAGGGUUUCCGCCCUUUAGUGCUGCAGCUAACGCAUUAAGCACUCCGCCUGGGGAGUACGGCCGCAAGGCUG
rnacentral:rRNA from 1 species